rnacentral:rRNA from 1 species
UACGAAGGGGGCUAGCGUUGCUCGGAAUCACUGGGCGUAAAGGGUGCGUAGGCGGGUCUUUAAGGCAGGGGGGAAAUCCUGGAGCUCAACUCCAGAACUGCCUUUGAUACUGGCGAUCUCGAGUCCGGGAGAGGUGAGUGGAACUGCGAGUGUAGAGGUGAAAUUCGUAGAUAUUCGCAAGAACACCAGUGGCGAAGGCGGCUCACUGGCCCGGUACUGACGCUGAGGUGCGAAAGCGUGGGGAGCAAACAGG